rnacentral:tRNA from 1 species
GGCUUGUUAGCUCAGUCGGUUAGAGCGUCGUGCUAAUAACGCGAAGGUCGUGGGUUCGAUCCCCACACGAGCCA